rnacentral:rRNA from 1 species
AGUUUGAUCCUGGCUCAGGACUAACGCUGGCGGCGUGCCUAAUACAUGCAAGUCGAGCGAACCAAUUGAAAGCCUAGCUUUCAUGAGGUUAGCGGCGGACGGGUGAGCAACACGUGGGUAACCUGCCCUAUAGACUGGGAUAACUCGCGGAAACGCGUGCUAAUACCGGAUAACACAUCAAAGUGCAUGCUUUGAUGUUGAAAGAUGGUUCUGCUAUCACUAUAGAAUGGGCCCGCGGCGCAUUAGCUUGUUGGUGGGGUAACGGCCUACCAAGGCGACGAUGCGUAGCCGACCUGAGAGGGUGAUCGGCCACACUGGGACUGAGACACGGCCCAGACUCCUACGGGAGGCAGCAGUAGGGAAUCUUCCACAAUGGGCGAAAGCCUGAUGCAGCGACGCCGCGUGAGCGAAGAAGGCCUUCGGGUCGUAAAGCUCUGU